CCCACCGCGCGCUCCCGCCUCCUUGCUGCCAUGGCGACCGCCCCGGGCCCCAGCAGCCGCUAAUUGGUCCUACCCGAAGAGUGGAAGGUGCCGAUUGGCAAGGGCGGAGACCAGGCCGCGCCGGAGGGCUUGGAGGCGGGCGGUGUGGAGAGCUAACGCGUAGAAGCCCCGGGGAGGGUGAGCCAGGAGGGACGUGGCGCUCUGCGGCGCGGGCUGAGAAGCCGCGCCCCUUCCUUCUCUGGCUUUCAUGGAGAGUCCUGUGGAGCAGGAUUUGGGUGGGUGAGGUGCUUACCCGGGACGCGGACAAAAACCCAGGAUCCCACAGGACAUCACUUGGCCAAGUUCUUCACUGUGUUCAGAAUGGGGGAGAGGGAGGCAGGAGUACUUACAAGAGACAUACGCGGGCCUCUCACUGUUGUGGCCUCUCCCAUUGCGGAGCACAGGCUCCGGACGCGCAGGCUCAGCAACCAUGGCUCACGGGCCCAGCCGCUCCGCGGCAUGUGGGAUCUUCCCGGACCGGGUCAUGAACCCGUGUCUCCUGCAUCGGCAGGUGGACUCUCAACCACUGCACCACCA